rnacentral:rRNA from 1 species
GACGAACGCUGGCGGCGUGCUUAACACAUGCAAGUCGAACGGAAAGGCCCUGCUUUUGUGGGGUGCUCGAGUGGCGAACGGGUGAGUAACACGUGAGUAACCUGCCCUUGACUUUGGGAUAACUUCAGGAAACUGGGGCUAAUACCGGAUAGGAGCUCCUGCUGCAUGGUGGGGGUUGGAAAGUUUCGGCGGUUGGGGAUGGACUCGCGGCUUAUCAGCUUGUUGGUGGGGUAGUGGCUUACCAAGGCUUUGGCGGGUAGCCGGCCUGAGAGGGUGACCGGCCACAUUGGGACUGAGAUACGGCCCAGACUCCUACGGGAGGCAGCAGUGGGGAAUCUUGCACAAUGGGCGGAAGCCUGAUGCGGCAACGCCGCGUGCGGGAUGACGGCCUUCGGGUUGUAAACCGCUUUCGCCUGUGACGAAGCGUGAGUGACGGUAAUGGGUAAAGAAGCACCGGCUAACUACGUG